AUCACCUGGGGAUCUUGUUAAAAUACAGAUUUUGAUUCAGGAGGUUUGAGGUGAGGCUUGAGAUUUUGUAUUUCUAACAAGUUCCCAAGUGUUUUUUC
rnacentral:pre_miRNA from 1 species